rnacentral:rRNA from 1 species
GUAGCAAUACCAUGAGAGCGGCGCACGGGUGAGUAACGCGUACACGGCCUACCUCUGACAGGGGGAUAGCCCUGGGAAACUGGGAUUAAUACCGCAUAUUAUUCUGAUUAAUAAAGGAUUGGAAUGAAAGUUCAGGCGGUCAGAGAUGGGUGUGCGUCUGAUUAGCUAGUUGGUAGGGUAACGGCCUACCAAGGCGAUGAUCUGUAGGGGGCGUGAGAGCGUGAUCCCCCACACGGGUACUGAGACACGGACCCGACUCCUACGGGAGGCAGCAGUAAGGAAUAUUGGACAAUGGCCGAAAGGCUGAUCCAGCCAUCCAGCGUGCAGGAAGAAGGCCCUAUGGGUUGUAAACUGCUUUUAUCAGGGAAUAAACCUCUGGAUUCACUCCGGAGCUGAAGGUACCUGAAGAAUAAGCACCAGCUAACUCCGUGCCAGCAGCCGCGGUAAUACGGAGGGUGCGAGCGUUAUCCGGAAUUACUGGGUUUAAAGGGUGCGUAGGCGGCUUUGUAAGUCAGGAGUGAAAGUUUGCAGCUCAACUGUAAAAUUGCUUUUGAUACUGCGAGGCUAGAAUUAGGAUGAGGUCAGCGGAAUGUGGCAUGUAGCGGUGAAAUGCAUAGAUAUGCCAUAGAACACCAAUUGCGAAGGCAGCUGGCUAGACCUGGAUUGACGCUGAGGCACGAAAGCGUGGGGAGCGAACAGGAUUAGAUACCCUGGUAGUCCACGCCCUAAA